UACAGAGGGUGCUAGCGUUGUUCGGAAUCAUUGGGCGUAAAGGGCGUGUAGGCGGUUUGUUAAGUCAUGUGUGAAAUCCCUCGGCUCAACCGAGGAAAGACGCAUGAAACUGGCAAGCUAGAGUCCGGAAGAGGCGAGUGGAAUUCCCGGUGUAGCGGUGAAAUGCGCAGAUAUCGGGAAGAACACCCGUGGCGAAGGCGGCUCUCUGGGACGGUACUGACGCUGAGACGCGAAAGCGUGGGGAGCAAACAGG
rnacentral:rRNA from 1 species